CCUACGGGAGGCAGCAGUGGGGAAUCUUGCACAAUGGGCGCAAGCCUGAUGCAGCAACGUCGCGUGAGUGAAGAAGGCUUUCGAGUCGUAAAGCUCUUUCGGCUGGGGAGAAGGGUCUCAUGGUUAAUAGCCUUGAGAUUUGACGUUACCAGAAGAAGAAGCACCGGCUAACUCCGUGCCAGCAGCCGCGGUAAUACGGAGGGUGCGAGCGUUGUUCGGAAUUACUGGGCGUAGAGUGCGGGUAGGCGGAUCGUUAAGUCGAUUGUGAAAGACCGGAGCUCAACUUCGGAGCUGCAGUCGAUACUGUCGGUCUUGAAUGCCUGAGAGGAUGACGGAAUUCUUGGUGUAGGAGUGAAAUCUGUAGAUAUCAGGAGGAACACUUGUGGCGAAGGCGGUCAUCUGGCAGUGCAUUGACGCUGAACCGCGAAAGCGUGGGUAGCAAACAGGAUUAGAUACCCUGGUAGUCCACGCAGUAAACGAUGGAUACUAGCUGCUUGGAGGGUUAAAUCUCUGGGUAGCGAAGUUAACGCAUUAAGUAUCCCGCCUGGGGAGUACGGUCGCAAGGCUAAAACUCAAAGGAAUUGACGG
rnacentral:rRNA from 1 species